rnacentral:lncRNA from 1 species
CACCGGGGAGCGGGAGCGACGCUCUGCUCCGCCCGAGUGGGCUCCUGGAGAGACUGGGAUAAAGAGUAAUUUUCUCUUGACUCUUCUGUCCGAGGAAGCCUAACCGAGUUCCAGCAGCCUUAAACCCACCCAAAGGCUCACCUGGCUGGCAAGACAGCCUCACGCCUGUAGUUUUUCGCUCAAGAGUGUGGGUUUGUCAGAACAGCUCCCUGCAAGAGGCAGGGAAAGCACUUCUAGCCCCAUUUUCUUCAGAUGACAACGCCAGGGUACAGAGGCACUGAGAAAUCUAUUUCCCCGCUGCAGCAACACCAAGGGCAACGGGAAAGUCGCCAGGUGACCCACGCAGGGUGUGCUGUGACCCGCGUUGAGAGUGAGGAGUGGGAGCCGUCACUGCUGUCCCCGAAGUUCCCUGGGUGUAACACCUGAGCUCCACAGCAGCUGCCCCAGGAAGUCUCGAGGGGACAAGGUGAAGAGCCACCCGACUGGACCCAGAUGCAGCUAAAAGAAGGAAAGGAAAGAACCAUUCUGAUCUGUUUCCAUGAUCCAUAAUAUACUUCAGAUAGAAACAAAGGUUCUCCUCUUCCCAAUGUCGGGAGUUUGUCUUGAGGCUGACUUUGAGUGCCCACUAUCUGGUAUCCCCUUGUCAGUAAAGGUCUUUGAUUCUGCAGUACACCCAGAGAUGGACCCCUUCUUGGCCCUUCAUCCCACUUGCUCCUGCUCAGCACUCCCUACUUACACACUGAGCCAAAGCCAGUGUUUUAGCCCAAGGUCUACACACUGUGAAGGCCUGGGCAAUACUUGGUGCUCUUGGACAUGGCUGGGGCCCAGAGCCGGGCCUCACACAGUGCUCUGAGAGCACCCUCCACUGCUCUCAUCUGCACAACACUCUCCCCUCCUAGUAAGGCCUUUCCUUCUCCAAAGCACAUGGCCCCUUCCCUUAUCUUUUCCUUUCCCUUCCCUUUCCUUUCCCAGGAACCCAGUCUUUGCCUAAGCCCCAACCCUUC